CAAAGACUAGAUAGCUGUAGAUGCGGUGUUCUCAAGUUUCCAGUUAAUAGUUGCAUCCAUGUGAUGAGAGAGGACUUUGAGUUUUGGCAAGGCCCUUGCAAACACUGUUCAUAGAACUCCUGUAAAUUCAACAGAAGGCAUGAUUAGGAGGGUUUACUCCUGGCAGAUGUGGGGUCUUAGCAGAAGCACAGAAGGAAGAAGCUAGCUUCAACUGUCUGAAACUGGCUGUGUUGGAAAGGCUGUGCUGAGAUGAGCAAUCUAUUUAGAAUGACUGCUGCUCAUCUUUUUAACAAGAUAAUCAUCUGACAGCAACAUGGAAAAGCAGAUGUAGCAUUUUAAGGGAUAUACGGCUUUUUGAACUCCACAUGCUUUCAAACUCUGAUAUUAUUUCCAAUGAACCCUAAAGUCAAAGGAAUAAUCACUUUGAAAUUCUUGCACAAUGGGAAGCCCUGAAGGAAGCUGAACAUCUGAUUUUCACUAAAGGAGAAUCCUGAAAGCAAAGCAUCCUAUAAAUUGGAAUUUUUGCUUCCUCUGUUGUCUUCCAUAGGGUCUCUUGCCGCUUUGCUAAAUAUCAAAGAUAUUUAUGCUUAAACAAAUGUUGUCUCCCUCUCACUGCAUUCCCUCCUUCUGGCAGAGAAGUCAUCACACUGAAUCGGUGGCUCUUUCCCAUGGCAACAGACUGUGAUGUCAGAAAUGUGGUGCCAAGCAAUUAGAUUUUGUAGGUGCCACAGUUGGAAACAUGAAACUCCAAGGAUGAUGGUGAGACAGAGCAGUUGUUGUAGAAGAAAAAACUCAGGAAGGACUGAGUGUCUAAUGUGUUCUCUCAAAGGCCUGUUGCUGAAGGAGGGUGGCAGCAAAUGAAGUCGGAGAGGGGAAGAGGGAUACAGUGUUCAAGACAAGAUUUCAAAGGAGAAGCAAGUUGAUGAUGGAGAGUUGCAAAAGGCCACGUCCAGAUGGCUGGCACUCUGCCACGUGCCGUGGCUUUGAUGCUUUACAGGUGUUCUCUAAGGCGUCGAAGGCGGAAGCUCCAGGGACCUGCUGUCUGUCAUUGAAACAGCCAGAGGACUCAGGACCCAGAGAAAGAGCAAACUCCCUCUCCUUUCAUUCCCUUCCGCUCUUGUAGGAAUGUGGGAACUUUCACAGUUUUGCUGUUUUCAAGAAAACGGCACCUUGACAACAUGACCUUUGAGACCUACAAGCUGAGGGAGCUGUAGGGAGAAGGAUGAUCUGAGAUGGGCAACAAAAACCUUCCAAGAGGAGGCAAUGGGUGAGGACCCUUCAUGUUGCCAAUAGGAGCGAUCUGGGAAUAUUUUGAAAUGGACUUUUAAAAAAGCUGAGUCUGUUUUUUGGAGGUUCUUUGUCAAAUACACAAGAGAAUGAAACCCAUACCUGUGAAAAAUCAUAGAUGAAGUUUUAAAAUACACAUUUCAGUGAUACAGUAUGGAUAAAUUUGGACUGCAUAUGGCUUCUUAUGUAAAAGAAAAUUUCUUCUCCUUUUAGUAACACAUUGUCGGCUGCCUGUGCUUUGCACCUUCUGCCAUAAGCUCCUUAAAACAAGCUGCUGCAAUUCAAGAACUAGCCCUAGUAAUUAAGAUCAAAUGAGCCAGAUGAAGAAAAUGAGCUGGGUGAAACACAUGCCAGUGGAACCCAGCCUUUUCAUAUUUAAAAAGAGAGCCAGAAAAGAAAGAAAAACAGCUAUUUGUCGAUGGACUAUGUGGAGGAUUUAGAUGCAGUCUCUACUCAGGAUUAUUGUUAACAUUUAUACGUAUAUUUUAAAUGAUUCUGGGCUUGAUUGAUUAGCUCUUGUGAAAUACAGUGGAUGUGGGCCGGGCAUGGUGGCUCACGCCUGUAAUCCCAGCACUUUGG
rnacentral:lncRNA from 10 species